UUUCCGUAGGUGAACCUGCGGAAGGAUCAUUGUCAAACGUUAUCCAACGUUAACCCCUUCGUGAACUUGUUUUUUACCAGUGAUAUUAAGUGGAUAAGGAUUCGAGAGAUGUGGUGUCUAGAGUUGUCUUCGGAUGGUUCUAGUUCUCGAGUCUCUGUUUUCGGUCGCAAGACUGAAGGGCGCACUUGGUAUUGCUUCGCCAUUUUUUUCUUUUACCCCAUUUACCUUAAAUUUGUACUAAUUCCUUUUUUGCUUUUUUCGAAAAGUAAAAAAAAAAAUUUAUAUAAAUGCGAACAACUCUUAGCAACGGAUAUCUAGGCUCUC
rnacentral:misc_RNA from 1 species